GAUGAACGCUGGCGGCGUGCCUAAUACAUGCAAGUCGAGCGAACAGACGAGGAGCUUGCUCCUCUGACGUUAGCGGCGGACGGGUGAGUAACACGUGGAUAACCUACCUAUAAGACUGGGGUAACUUCGGGAAACCGGAGCUAAUACCGGAUAAUAUAUUGAACCGCAUGGUUCAAUAGUGAAAGACGGUUUUGCUGUCACUUAUAGAUGGAUCCGCGCCGCAUUAGCUAGUUGGUAAGGUAACGGCUUACCAAGGCAACGAUGCGUAGCCGACCUGAGAGGGUGAUCGGCCACACUGGAACUGAGACACGGUCCAGACUCCUACGGGAGGCAGCAGUAGGGAAUCUUCUGCAAUGGGCGAAAGCCUGACGGAGCAACGCCGCGUGAGUGAUGAAGGUCUUCGGAUCGUAAAACUCUGUUAUUAGGGAAGAACAAAUGUGUAAGUAACUAUGCACGUCUUGACGGUACCUAAUCAGAAAGCCACGGCUAACUACGUG
rnacentral:rRNA from 1 species